CCUACGGGAGGCAGCAGUGGGGAAUAUUGCGCAAUGGGCGAAAGCCUGACGCAGCGACGCCGCGUGAGGGAUGAAGGUCUUCGGAUCGUAAACCUCUGUCAGCAGGGACGAACGGUCACUGUGCUAAUCAGCAGUGCAUUGACGGUACCUGCAAAGGAAGCACCGGCUAACUCCGUGCCAGCAGCCGCGGUAAUACGGAGGGUGCGAGCGUUAAUCGGAAUUACUGGGCUUAAAGCGCUCGUAGGCGGUAUGUCAAGUCAAGGGUGAAAUCCCCGCGCUCAACGGUGGAACUGCCUUUGAAACUGGCAAACUGGAGUGUGUGAGAGGAUAGUGGAAUUCCAGGUGUAGGAGUGAAAUCCGUAGAUAUCUGGAGGAACAUCAGUGGCGAAGGCGACUAUCUGGCACAUAACUGACGCUGAGGAGCGAAAGCGUGGGUAGCAAACAGGAUUAGAUACCCGUGUAGUC
rnacentral:rRNA from 1 species